AAACUUCUUUCGGAAAAAGUCCAGGCAGAUUAUGACAAGGACAGGGAUCCUCCUUCUGUGGAAAUUAUCCCUGUUCAGCAAAUUCUACCUGUUAGGCAAUUGGUCUUUGAAUAAGACAUGUCUCUACAGCAAGCUUACCAGGAGCAAUAAUGGAAAAACUGAAGAAGUGUGGAUAUUUUGA
rnacentral:lncRNA from 1 species